rnacentral:rRNA from 1 species
UACGUAGGGUGCGAGCGUUAAUCGGAAUUACUGGGCGUAAAGCGUGCGUAGGCGGUUCGCUGUGUCCGAUGUGAAAGCCCCGGGCUUAACCUGGGAAUGGCAUUGGAAACUGGCGGGCUUGAGUGCGGCAGAGGGGGGUGGAAUUCCGCGUGUAGCAGUGAAAUGCGUAGAGAUGCGGAGGAACACCGAUGGCGAAGGCAGCCCCCUGGGUCGACACUGACGCUCAGGCACGAAAGCUAGGGGAGCAAACAGG